UGUAACAAUUAGCAUAACAUCCAGCAGCGUUAGCAUGGCAGCCAUAUUGACAAGCACAUAGACAGCUAUUAUCACAGCUAGCUACUCAGUGGAGACAAGUUACUAACUCACAAUACACGUGUUAGCAAUGGUAGAAAAUGCAUACCUGUAUGAAGUGAAGCUCUGAUAGUCUCCGGUGCAUCUUGUUGUGGUCCAAAGCUCCCACAGAAGGACAGACAUGCAUUUUACAGCCCACCACCUUUUACGUAAACAUCUGACUCUUGAAUUCAACAUCUGCUCUGGGUUCAGCCUGACAGAUCCAGAAGCUGUUUCGAGUAUCUUCUGCAAAACAUCUGCCUGUAGGUAAAACAUGCACAAAAUACACGUUUUCAGGUUUUAUUGUGUUUUCACCAGAUUGGUAUCAGAGCCAUGACACACACAGAGCACCCAUAUCAUAUAUUUACCCAUAACAGUCUGUGUACCCAUGUGGAAUCUGUUAAGCCUGCCAGAGCCAGAUAAAAACCUGUUUUAAUGCCAUACACGGCUAAGAAG